AGAUUAGCCAUGCAUGUCUAAGUAUAAGCAAUUAUACAGCGAAACUGCGAAUGGCUCAUUAUAUAAGUUAUCGUUUAUUUGAUAGUACCUUACUACUUGGAUAACCGUGGUAAUUCUAGAGCUAAUACAUGCUGAAAAUCCCGACUUCGGAAGGGAUGUAUUUAUUAGAUUCAAAACCAAUGCCCUCUGGGCUCUCUGGUGAUUCAUGAUAACUGCUCGAAUCGCACGGCCUUGCGCCGGCGAUGGCUCAUUCAAAUUUCUUCCCUAUCAACUUUCGAUGUUUGGGUAGUGGCCAAACAUGGUUGCAACGGGUAACGGAGGGUUAGGGCUCGACCCCGGAGAAGGAGCCUGAGAAACGGCUACUACAUCCAAGGAAGGCAGCAGGCGCGCAAAUUACCCAAUCCCGACACGGGGAGGUAGUGACAAUAAAUACCGAUACAGGGCUCUUUUGGGUCUUGUAAUUGGAAUGAGUACAAUUUAAAUCCCUUAACGAGGAACAAUUGGAGGGCAAGUCUGGUGCCAGCAGCCGCGGUAAUUCCAGCUCCAAUAGCGUAUAUUAAAGUUGUUGUGGUUAAAAA
rnacentral:rRNA from 1 species